rnacentral:rRNA from 1 species
UACGGGGGGAGCAAGCGUUGUUCGGAUUUACUGGGCGUAAAGGGCGCGUAGGCGGCGCAACAAGUCACUUGUGAAAUCUCCGGGCUUAACCCGGAGCGGUCAAGUGAUACUGUCGUGCUAGAGUGCGGAAGGGGCUACUGGAAUUCUCGGUGUAGCGGCGAAAUGCGUAGAUAUCGAGAGGGAACACCUGCGGCGAAGGCGGGUAGCUGGGCCGACACUGACGCUGAUGCGCGAAAGCCAGGGGAGCGAACGG